CCUACGGGAGGCAGCAGUGAGGAAUAUUGGUCAAUGGGCGAGAGCCUGAACCAGCCAAGUCGCGUGAGGGAGUACUGCCCUAUGGGUUGUAAACCUCUUUUGUCGGGGAGCAAAAGCCGGACGUGUCCGGCUGUGAGAGUACCCUAAGAAAAAGCAUCGGCUAACUCCGUGCCAGCAGCCGCGGUAAUACGGAGGAUGCGAGCGUUAUCCGGAUUUAUUGGGGUUAAAGGGUGCGCAGGCGGAUUUUUAAGUCAGCGGUCAAAUCGUGGGGCUCAACCCCACCCAGCAGUUGAAACUGGGGAUCUAGAGUGUGCGAGAGGUAUGCGGAAUGCGUGGUGUAGCGGUGAAAUGCAUAGAUAUCACGCAGAACCCCGAUUGCGAAGGCAGCAUACCGGUGCACAACUGACGCUCAGGCACGAAAGCGUGGGUAUCGAACAGGAUUAGAUACCCCAGUAGUC
rnacentral:rRNA from 1 species